CGACUCUUCUGGUUCUGUUAACUGACGCUGAAGGAAGCGAAAAGCGUGGGGAAGCGAACAGGAAAAAAUACCCUGGUAGUCCCGCCGUAAACGAUGAGUGCUAAUUGUUAGGGGGUUUCCGCCCCUUGUGCUGCAGCUAACGCAUUAAGCACUCCGCCUGGGGAGUACGGUCGCAAGACUGAAACUCAAAGGAAUUGACGGGGGCCCGCACAAGCGGUGGAGCAUGUGGUUUAAUUCGAAGCAACGCGAAGAACUUACCAGGUCUUGACAUCCUCUGACAAUCCUAGAGAUAGGACGUCCCCUUCGGGGGCAGAGUGACAGGUGGUGCAUGGUUGUCGUCAGCUCGUGUCGUGAGAUGUUGGGUUAAGUCCCGCAACGAGCCAACCCUUGAUCUUAGUUGCCAGCAUUCAGUUGGGCACUCUAAGGUGACUGCCGGUGACAAACCGGAGGAAGGUGGGGAUGACGUCAAAUCAUCAUGCCCCUUAUGACCUGGGCUACACACGUGCUAAAUGGACAGAACAAAGGGCAGCGAAACCGCGAGGUUUAAGCCAAUCCCACAAAAUCUGUUCUCAGUUCGGAUCGCAGUCUGCAACUCGACUGCGUGAAGCUGGAAUCGCUAUUAAUCGCGGAUCAUCUGCCGCGGUGAAUACGUUUCCGGGCCUUGUACACACCCGCCCGUCACACCACGAGAGUUUGUAACACCCGAAGUCGUGAGGUAACCUUUUAUGAUCCAUCCGCCGAAGGUGGGACAAUGAUUGGGGUAAGUCUUAAAAUGUAACCGUAUUUAAGUGCGGCUGGAUCACCUCCUUCUAUAUUGGAAA
rnacentral:rRNA from 1 species